rnacentral:misc_RNA from 1 species
CCAAAUCCAAAUACCCAAACCCCAUGUGAACUAUUGUAUAGUCUGUCUUUGGGAGAAAAACAUCCAAGAAAAAUUAGCUUAAUUGCUCUUUUUUCUUGGAUUUUUCUCCCAAUAGAGUCCGGCGCAACUUUAUUGUUGUUUCCAGAUUCGAAACCCUUUUAAACCACUUGAUUUUUCUGUUGGAAUUUUCUUUUAUUAAUUUUAAAUAAAGGA